rnacentral:piRNA from 1 species
AGGAGCCUGCAGAGGAAGCCUACGAC